AACACCCUCGUAAAAUCAGUAUCGUGUGAGUUUUAGUGUUGCGUUAGUGAAAUUAGAACACAAAACAGUAAAAGUGUUCCAGGGUGUUGAUGGGGGGGAAACACAGCCUCGUAAAAUCAGUAUCGUGUGAGUUUUAGUGUUGCGUCAGUGAAAUUAGAACACAAAACAGUAAAAGUGUUCCGGGGUGUCGAUGGGGUGGGGGAAACACACCCUCGUAAAAUCAGUAUCGUGUGAGUUUUAGUGUUGCAUCAGUGAAAUUAGAACACAAAACAGUUAACAGUGUUCCGGGGUGUCGAUGAGGUAGGGGAAACACAGCCUCGUAAAAUCAGUAUCGUGUGAGUUUUAGUGUUGCGUUAGUGAAAUUAGAACACAAAACAGUUAACAGUGUUCUGGGGUGUUGAUGGGGUGGGGGGAAACACAGCCUCGUAAAAUCAGUAUCGUGUGAGUUUUAGUGUUGCGUCAGUGAAAUUAGAACACAAAACAGUAAAAGUGUUCCGGGGUGUCGAUGGGGUGGGGGAAACACAGCCUCGUAAAAUCAGUAUCGUGUGAGUUUUAGUGUUGCGUUAGUGAAAUUAGAACACAAAAUGGUUAACAGUGUUCCGGGGUGUCGAUGAGGUGGGGGGAAACACACCCUCGUAAAAUCAGUAUCAUGUGAGUUUUAGUGUUGCAUCAGUGAAAUUAGAACACAAAACAGUUAAGUGUUCCGGGGUGUCGAUGGGGUGGGGGAAACACACCCUCGUAAAAUCAGUAUCAUGUGAGUUUUAAUGUGUUGCGUCAGUGAAAUUAGAACACAAAACGGUUAACAGUGUUCCGGGGUGUCGAUGGGGUGGGGGAAACACAGCCUCGUAAAAUCAGUAUCGUGUGAGUGUAGUGUGUUGCAUCAGUGAGAUUAGAACACAAAAUCACUAGAAAAACCAAGCUUGUAUUUCCGAGGCGAUAAGCGCAAGGGAAGAGGAGGAUAGGCGAGAGAUCUUACGUAUUCUUGCGGCUACUUUCAGGAUAAGAACAGGAGGGGGAGGGCGAGAGUGCCGAUACGUUCUUGCGGCAACUUUUGGUGUGUAGCAACGUAGCAAUAGUUAGCAGGGUGCACUUUAGGGAACGCAGAACUCGUGUGUGUGUGCGUGUGUUUGUGUCGUGUCGGAGGAGGUGGGGCCGAGCCAGUGUUGUUGCUGUUGUAAUCGAUUUAGUGUGCCUGGUAGAGGGUCGGGCGUAGCGAGGGUUGUGUGGCCCUAGACUGAUGAUUUCCGAUGCCAUGUUGAAGCCUCGGUGUUUUUUAAUUUUUCGUUAUUUAUUUAUUUAUUUAUUUAUUUUUUACAGCAAAGGAGACGGCUCAAGGGUAACAAAAAGAGUGUAGGAAAAAAAAAAAAAAAAAAAGCCCGCUAGUCACUGUUCCCACGAUAGACAAAAUUAAAGACUGGCCAAAAGAGCGGUCGAUUUCGGGUUGGCGAGAGAGGAAAAAAAUUAACGAGCGAGUGUCGGAAAGCACGAACAGACCCUAAGCAACCAUGACCGACAACCUGGACUUAGUUUCACUCGAGCGUAAAUAGAUUCUUCCACCUCCACCACGGCCGGCGUUCCUCUCGGCGGAAGACGGAGGAGGAGGAGGAGGUGCGGCGUAGCGGGAGGGCCGACUAACUCACCACAGCGCAUAUCUCUUAAGGGGGUCAACCUCUUGUACAUACAUAUACUGAUAACUAAUUAUUCUAACAAGACAGAGUACAUAUAUAUAUAAAAACGCUAUAUAUUAUGUUUGACGACUACUGUAUUGCCUUUGUAAAUGCUUAUAAUUUGUACAUUGACGUAAGGAAGGAAGGAAGGACGGAAGGUCAGUUACGAUUUACGGACGUACGCUAACGAGAUUUUAACCCCUACCUGUGUGUUUACGUAUCCGCCUCUACCAUCGUAUCAAGUCGCUUGUUUAUAGUCCCGCUUCUGUCCCGUUAACGUAGAGCGUAAUACCACCACCAUCACCGCCAACCCCAUUACUGCUUUGUUUGUGUGUUUGUGUGUGUCCGCUGUUGUUGCGUACCAGUGGAUGUUAAGCAUUUCAGAGUUUAUUAUCGCCGACUCGAGUGUGCGCUGGGCGGGGCGUCGCGAGCGUAACGUAUGUUCGGCAUGGGGUCCCUCUAUAGCCAGUAUUUUAAGACACCCUCAGUUAUCACAUCAGCUAUUUCUAAAGGUCAAAGAAGGGGUCAGUUGGGUUCUAAUGAGUGUUUCUUUAGGUUCAUGGUACAGAGGAAGGGUCACACUAUCACCAGGGUCAUAAAACUACUACUGGAAAUGCCCACAACUCCUACGAAAGCCUUGUCAAAUAGGUGUUUCUUAGGUUCACGGUACAGAGGAAGGGUCAAACUACCACCAGGGUCAUAAAACUACCCCUGGAAAUGCCCACAACUCCUAUGAAAGCCUUGUCAAAUAGGUGUUUCUUAGGUUCACGGUACAGAGGAAGGGUCAGACUACCACCGGGGUCAUAAAACUACCCCUGGAAAUGCCCAUAACUCCUAUGAAAGCCUUGUCAAAUAGGUGUUUCUUAGGUUCACAGUACAGAGGAAGGGUCAGACUACCACCAGGGCCAUAAAACUACCCCUGGAAAUGACCACAACUCCUACAAAAGCCUUGUCAAAUAGGUGUUUCUUAGGUUCACGGUACAGAAGAAGGGUCAGACUACCAUCAGGGUCAUAAAACUACCCCUGGAAAUGACCACAACUCCUACGAAAGCCUUGUCAAAUAGGUGUUUCUUAGGUUCACGGUACAGAGGAAGGAUCAGACUACCAUCAGGGUCAUAAAACUACCCCUGGAAAUGCCCACAACUCCUACGAAAGCCUUGUCAAAUAGGUGUUUCUUAGGUUCACGGUACAGAGGAAGGAUCAGACUACCAUCAGAGUCAUAAAACUACCCCUGGAAAUGCCCACAACUCUUACGAAAGCCUUGCCCAACUGGUGUUCUUGGGCGAUGAAAUGUCGUAUGAUACUUCCCUGUCUGUCUGCUUAUACUCCACCCCAGACAAUUUAUAUGAGCGCGCGGAAAAGGCAAAUUUGUGGAGUGAAUUUCUCUCGGCAUGUGUUAAGGUUACGAUCCCCCGUCUGUCUGUUUAUGUGGAACCCCAGGCAGUUUACAUGAGCGCGCGGAAAAGGCGAAAUCGUGGGUUGAAUUUUGUUUGGCGUGUGUUUAGGUUACGAGACAGAAUAUCAAACUUACUAACAGACUUAUGGCUAUGGGAAAAAUGUAAAUAAUAUAGAAGGACGCUUGGUAACGGAAUGCCGUCAAACAGUGACCUAACUUAACCUAACCCAUCUGAGGGAAACUGAAAUAAAACUCAAAAUAUUAAAGUUACUAAUGUAUUUCUAGCAAUGGGAGAAAUGUAAAUAAUAUAGAAUCACGCUUGGUAUAGAAGAACCACCAAAAAAUAGCCUAACAUGGUCCCUAGUGGCUAAAAGUGACUGCGUUUUAACUGAACCUUAAUAAAACAGGAUAUCAAAGUGACUAAUGUAUUUCUGGGCUUGGGAGAAAUGUAAAUAAUAUAGAAUCACGCUUGGUACAGAAGACCCACAAAGAAAUAGCCUAACAUGGUCCCUAGUGG